rnacentral:rRNA from 1 species
AGUGAACGCUGGCGGUAGGCCUAACACAUGCAAGUCGAACGGCAGCACAGUAAGAGCUUGCUCUUACGGGUGGCGAGUGGCGGACGGGUGAGGAAUACAUCGGAAUCUACUUUUUCGUGGGGGAUAACGUAGGGAAACUUACGCCAAUACCGCAUACGACCUACGGGUGAAAGCAGGGGAUCUUCGGACCUUGCGCGAUUGAAUGAGCCGAUGUCGGAUUAGCUAGUUGGCGGGGUAAAGGCCCACCAAGGCGACGAUCCGUAGCUGGUCUGAGAGGAUGAUCAGCCACACUGGAGCUGAGGCACGGUCCAGACUCCUACGGGAGGCAGCAGUGGGGAAUAUUGGACAAUGGGCGCAAGUCUGAUCCAGCCAGACCGCGUGGGUGAAGAAGGCCUUCGGGUUGUAAAGCCCUUUUGUUGGGAAAGAAACGCAGCAGGUUAAUACCCCGCUGUUCUGACGGUACCCAAAGAAUAAGCACCGGCUAACUUCGUG